rnacentral:rRNA from 1 species
CACUGUCACUCCUACGGGAGGCAGCAUGGGGGAAUAUUGCACAAUGGGCGCAAGCCUGAUGCAGCCAUGCCGCGUGUAUGAAGAAGGCCUUCGGGUUGUAAAGUACUUUCAGUCGUGAGGAAGGUGGUAGUGUUAAUAGCACUAUCAUUUGACGUUAGCGACAGAAGAAGCACCGGCUAACUCCGUGCCAGCAGCCGCGGUAAUACGGAGGGUGCGAGCGUUAAUCGGAAUUACUGGGCGUAAAGCGCAUGCAGGUGGUUUGUUAAGUCAGAUGUGAAAGCCCCGGGGCUCAACCUCGGAAUAGCAUUUGAAACUGGCAGACUAGAGUACUGUAGAGGGGGUAGAAUUUCAGGUGUAGCGGUGAAAUGCGUAGAGAUCUGAAGGAAUACCGGUGGCGAAGGCGGCCCCCUGGACAGAUACUGACACUCAGAUGCGAAAGCGUGGGGAGCAAACAGGAUUAGAUACCCUGGUAG